AAAUAGAUAUCGGAUCGUAGCCGAUUUAACCCGUAAAAGGAAAAGUUGCUAUAGGCAAGGCGAGAUAUUUGCUAAAUAUUGUGUAGUUACACUUAGAUGUUCGAAUCAUCUCUUUUCCGUAAGAUUCCUUAACUUAAUAGGUUAAAGUAUACUUUUGAUAAGAGUAGGAUUAGCGUUCAAUUCGCUAAGGAAUCAAUAAGAGUAUAAUUUAAGGGUAAAAUAUGGAGCUUCAACCUCCACCUUCUCAGUUCAAAUCUGAGUGCUCUUGAAUAAAAGAGAAUUGACUGAGUGGUUUAAGGUGGUAAGCUUGAGACUUAUUUGGUUUAAAAAAAUCACAUCCGUUCAAAUCGGAUAUUCUCUGAAAAAACAGGUUAGAGCCGGCUGGGUAGGCACCUCAUUUGGGUUGAGGAUUAGUUAUGUUCGAUUCAUAAUAACUUGAUAAAUAAUAAAAAUAUGUAAGAUAUAUAAAGUAUGUAAAGAAACUAUUAAGGAUAAUUAGCUAUAUAUUAAAGAUAGAUAGUUAUAAAUCUAAAAUCUAAGAUAAAUUAAUUAAAUAAACAAAGUGAACUGAAGUAUCUUAGUAACUUUAGGAAAAGAAAUCAAACGAGAUUUUAUUAAAAAUUCUUUUAAUAAAUAAGCUUAUAAGUAAAACGAAAAAAAUUUGUUUGAAAAAAGGGGAACCUUCCUCUAAAGCUAAAUAUAAUAUAUAAGCGAUAGUGAAAAAGUACCGUGAGGGAAAAUUUGAAUUAGUAGUUUUAUAAGCAGCUCGAAAAAAAGAGUGUACCUUUUGCAUAAUGGGUCAGCAAGUUAUGUUUAGAAGCGAGCAAUAAAAUAUUGCCCAGUUAAACCAAUUAUGAAAAAAUAAUAUAGUUUCUAAACAUAGACCCGAAAGCUAGUGAUCUUACCAUGGUCAGGGUAAUGAAGCCCGAACGAGUUAUCGUUGUAAAGAUAUUCGAUGAACUGUGGUAAGUUGGUGAAAGAUAAAACUGACUAGUAUAGCUGGUUUUCCGCGAAACCUAUUUAAGUAGGUAAUUUAACUAACAUCUUAGCAGGUACAGAACUGUGAUCUCUGGCAAAAAUUUAUUUUUGUAUAUAUCGGGGGAUCGUGUAGAUUUUAUCGGAGAGUAUUUGCACUCGGAAUGGCAAAGAUGAAUGUUGAAUAAUCAGACAUAGUGCGAUAAGGUUGUAUGUCUAAAGGGAAACAGCCCAGAACAAGAGUAAUAAGGUUCCAAAAUUAUUAUUGAGUGAAAUUAAGGAUGUUAUUAUCAAAUACAAUCAGGAAAUAGGCUUAGAAGCUGCCAUUUUUUGAAGAUCUCGUAACAGAGCACUGAUUAAAUAUUUUAGAUAUUAAUACCGAAAAUAUAACGGAUCUAAAUAAUAUACCGAAACCUUGUACGUAUAAUUAUACGGGGUAGCGGAACAUUGGAUAAAUCUUAGAUUUUAUCUUUUUUAAGUUAAAAAAAUAAUAGAUAAUCCAAGAGAGAAUGCUGACAUGAGUAACGAAAAAGGAAAAUUUUAUUUUCCUCGCCUUAAGCUUAUGGUUUAUUUUAAAUUUCGGUAUCUAAGUAUAUACCCCAAAGGGUCUAUAUGAUGAUAAUAAUAAUUAUUUUUUGUAAACAAAAUCUUUAUUUAGUGAUAAAGGUUCAGGAAAUUGUAACAAAAAUCUAAAAAAAAAAUAAUUAUAAACCGUACCUAAAUACUAUCGCAAGUAAGCAAGUAGAGUAUACAAAGGCGUUUGAGUGAACAAUCAUUAAGGAACUCGGCAAAUUAACUACCGUAACUUCGGGAUAAGGAGGACCAUUAUUAUAGAUACAUAAGUAUCAAAUAGUAAAAGGAAUCAUAAAAUAGUGUUGUACGACUGUUUAAUUAAAACAAAGCACUCUGCCAAGAUAGAAAUCUAAGUAUUGAGUGUGAUGUCUGCCCGAUGUCGGUAGGGUAACAGAUUUACUUAAUUAUUUAAUUAGGUUUUGAUGAACACCCCGAUUAAUGGCGGCCUUAUCUAUAAGGGUCCUAAGGUAGCGGAAUACCUUGGCCGUUAAAUGCGGUCUUUGCAUGAAUGACUUAACGAUACAACAGCUGUCUCGAUGAUUGGCUCAGUGAAAUUGAAUUAGCAGUGCAGAUGCUGCUUACCUCUAGAUAGACAAGAAGACCCUUUGCAGCUUUACUGUUACCUACUAUGAUAUAAUUUGAUAAUUUCCAGUGUAUAAGGUAAUAGUUAUGAAAUUGAAACACCUUUAUUUGUUCUAUUAUAUUCUUUAUGGUAGGAAGGCAGUUUAUGCGGGGCACAGAUCCCAUAAAAAGUACCUGGGUAUAUCCAAAGUUCAUAUUGUAAUUUUGUAGAUUUUUAUUUACAAAAAUUCAUUAAAUAUUUUUAUUUCUUGAAUUUUUUAUUUAAUUUGUAAUUAAUUAUUAUUAAUUAUCCAGUUAUUGUUUAUAUUAAGUUAGUUAUUAUUAAUUUUUUUUAAGUAAGAUUUUAACUAUAUGGUAAAUAGAUGUAAAUUAAAUAAUAAUAUAACUAUAUUAUUAUUUAGUCAUAUUAAUAGAGAAAUUUUACUUAUUAUUAUGAUGUUUUUUUUACUUUAAAAGUUUAAUGGCUUAAUCUUGCUUUACUGUUUGACUUACAAGUCUAUCAGUCGCGUAAGCGGGGCAUAUGAUCACAAGAUUCAUAAAGGAAAGGUCUUGGAUUUAUGAAAAAGUUACGCUAGGGAUUAUUUGUUAGUCCUCCAAUAUUUUAAAAUAUUGGUAAUAAUUUGGGUUAAUUUCAAAAAUAACUUAAUUUGUCUAAUCAUUAUUAAGUUUAUUUGAAGCGAAAUUUAUUUAAGCUUUAUAUAUAAAUAAAUACGUUCAACGACUAAAAGGUGAAUAAUGCUAAUAAUAAUCCUUUUUUAAGUAC
rnacentral:rRNA from 1 species